UCAUUUGAACUUUCAGUUUUGUUUGUAUAUUGUUUUAACACUUCAUUGCCUACUCAGACAUACGGACCAGAACAUCAGGUCCAGGAUGGAACAUGAAGCGGAGAAAUACCAGCAGCGACUGCAGGCUAUAGCGGAGAAACGGCGCAUACAGGAAGAACAGGAGCGAGCCAAAAGAGACAUGGAGGAUGAGCGAAUGAGACUUCAACAGCUAAAG